rnacentral:tRNA from 1 species
GCCCUAGUAGCUCAGCCGGCAGAGCGAAGGUUUCGUAUACCUUAGGUCGCGCGUUCAAAUCGCGCCUAGGGCU